GUGUUCGUCGCCGAGGAGGGGUGGUUCGACCAACGGUGGGUCAACGACGAGCUUGUGCAGAAGCUCCGUCCACCAGCGAGGGCCGCACUGGAGGUGCCCCUUAUUCUGCGGUGGGAGGUAGCCCGUGACGUCAACUCAUAUCCCAAUUGUUCCGCCGGGGAAGUGGCGGGCCGCAUCUGCAAGAGCAACCGCAGCUACUGCAACCAGAGAAUAGAGGGUAUUCAUGCAAGUGCUGGAAUGGCUACGACGGCAAUCCUUACCUCACUGACGGCUGCCAAGAUGUCAACGAGUGCGAGCGGCCAGAAGAAUACGGUUGCUUCGGCGAGUGUAGGAACCUACUCGGUACAUUCGAGUGCUGGUGCCCACGAGGAACCAAUGGCAACCACACCAUACCCAAUGGCUGCGUAAAGCCCGUCACAGGUUCCAUACUUCUAGGAGUUGGACUUGGUCUAGUAGGCAUUCUAAUCAUGGUUCUUCCUGCAAUCUUGGUUGUCCGUAAGACUAAGAAAUUUAUCGAGGCAAAAGAUUUGAAGAAAAAGUUCUUCAAACAGAACCGUGGACAAUUGUUGCAGCAACUAGUAUCGCAAAGGACAGAUGUUGCAGAAAGAAUGAUCAUCACCUUAGUGGAAUUGGAGAAGGCCACGAACAAUUUUGACAAGACUCAUGAGCUUGGAGGUGGAGGGCAUGGCAUAGUUUACAAAGGAAUU